AACGAACGCUGGCGGCAGGCUUAACACAUGCAAGUCGAACGGAUCCUUCGGGAUUAGUGGCAGACGGGUGAGUAACGCGUGGGAACGUACCCUUUGCUACGGAAUAACUCAGGGAAACCUGAGCUAAUACCGUAUGCGCCCUACGGGGGAAAGAUUUAUCGGCAAAGGAUCGGCCCGCGUUGGAUUAGCUAGUUGGUGGGGUAAUGGCCUACCAAGGCGACGAUCCAUAGCUGGUCUGAGAGGAUGAUCAGCCACACUGGGACUGAGACACGGCCCAGACUCCUACGGGAGGCAGCAGUGGGGAAUAUUGGACAAUGGGCGCAAGCCUGAUCCAGCCAUGCCGCGUGAGUGAUGAAGGUCUUAGGAUUGUAAAGCUCUUUCACCGGUGAAGAUAAUGACGGUAGCCGGAGAAGAAGCCCCGGCUAACUUCGUG
rnacentral:rRNA from 1 species